rnacentral:rRNA from 1 species
UACGAAGGGGGCUAGCGUUGUUCGGAAUUACUGGGCGUAAAGCGUACGUAGGCGGAUCUGUAAGUUGGGGGUGAAAUCCCCGGGCUCAACCCGGGAACUGCCUUCAAGACUGCAAGUCUAGAGAUCAGGAGAGGCGAGUGGAAUUCCGAGUGUAGAGGUGAAAUUCGUAGAUAUUCGGAGGAACACCAGUGGCGAAGGCGACUCGCUGGACUGAUACUGACGCUCAAGUACGAAAGCGUGGGGAGCAAACAGG